rnacentral:rRNA from 1 species
CCUUUGCCGGCGACCGGCGCACGGGUGAGUAACACGUAUGCAACCUGCCCUCUUCAGGGGGACAACCUUCCGAAAGGGAGGCUAAUCCCGCGUAUAUCGGUUUCGGGCAUCCGAGAUCGAGGAAAGAUUCAUCGGAAGAGGAUGGGCACGCGGCGCAUUAGCUAGACGGCGGGGUAACGGCCCACCGUGGCGACGAUGCGUAGGGGUUCUGAGAGGAAGGUCCCCCACACUGGUACUGAGACACGGACCAGACUCCUACGGAAGGCAGCAG